UACGUAGGCAGCAAGCGUUGUUCGGAAUUACUGGGCGUAAAGAGUGUGUAGGCGGUGCUCUAAGUUUGGUGUGAAAUCUCCCGGCUCAACUGGGAGGGUGCGCCGAAAACUGGAAUGCUUGGAACAUGGGAGAGGAAAGCGGAAUUCCUGGUGUAGCGGUGAAAUGCGUAGAUAUCAGGAGGAACACCUGCGGUGUAGACGGCUUUCUGGACCAUUGUUGACGCUGAGACACGAAAGCGUGGGUAGCAAACAGG
rnacentral:rRNA from 1 species